rnacentral:rRNA from 1 species
UACGAAGGGUGCAAACGUUAUUCGGAAUCACUGGGCGUAAAGGGUGCGUAGAUGGUAUGUUAAGUUCGUUGUUAAAGGCUCCGGCCUAACUGGAGUAUUGCGAUGAAAACUGGCGUACUAGAGGGUGAGAGAGAGAAGUGGAAUUCCCGGAGUAGCGGUAAAAUGCGUGGAUCUCGGGAGGAACACCAAUGGCGAAGGCAGCUUCUUGGCUCAUUCCUGACAUUUGAGGCACGGAAAGCGUGGGGAGCAAACAGG